rnacentral:rRNA from 1 species
UACGAAGGGGGCUAGCGUUGCUCGGAAUCACUGGGCGUAAAGGGUGCGUAGGCGGGUCUUUAAGUCAGGGGUGAAAUCCUGGAGCUCAACUCCAGAACUGCCUUUGAUACUGAAGAUCUUGAGUACAGAUGAGGUAGGCGGAAUUGACGGUGUAGCGGUGAAAUGCUUAGAUAUCGUCAAGAACACCGAUAGCGAAGGCAGCUUACUGGGCUGUAACUGACGCUGAGGCACGAAAGUGUGGGGAUCAAACAGG